rnacentral:rRNA from 1 species
AGAGUUUGAUCCUGGCUCAGAUUGAACGCUGGCGGCAGGCCUAACACAUGCAAGUCGAGCGGUAGAGAGAAGCUUGCUUCUCUUGAGAGCGGCGGACGGGUGAGUAAUGCCUAGGAAUCUGCCUGGUAGUGGGGGAUAACGUUCGGAAACGAACGCUAAUACCGCAUACGUCCUACGGGAGAAAGCAGGGGACCUUCGGGCCUUGCGCUAUCAGAUGAGCCUAGGUCGGAUUAGCUAGUUGGUGAGGUAAUGGCUCACCAAGGCGACGAUCCGUAACUGGUCUGAGAGGAUGAUCAGUCACACUGGAACUGAGACACGGUCCAGACUCCUACGGGAGGCAGCAGUGGGGAAUAUUGGACAAUGGGCGAAAGCCUGAUCCAGCCAUGCCGCGUGUGUGAAGAAGGUCUUCGGAUUGUAAAGCACUUUAAGUUGGGAGGAAGGGCAUUAACCUAAUACGUUAGUGUUUUGACGUUACCGACAGAAUAAGCACCGGCUAACUCUGUGCCAGCAGCCGCGGUAAU